rnacentral:ncRNA from 1 species
AAAAAGGCGUUACCGGGUACGGUAGCGUUUGAAAGUGUAAAAGGGUGAUUAGCUCAGUUGGUAGAGCAGCUGACUCUCGAUGGGAGCCCUUGCCGGAAACGGUAAGGUGAACAGGCGUCAAAUUCGGGGAACCCUCUCGGCUUCGGCCAGUGGCAAUCCCGAGCCAAGCCUCGGAAACGAGGAAGGUGUAGAGACUAGACGGCGCCCGCCUAAAACCCCCCUCCGGGGGUCAUGGUGAUGGGAUAGUCCAGACUGCAAACCCGAAAGGGGCGG